rnacentral:tRNA from 1 species
AUGCAAUGAACUUAAAAUUCAUUUAUAAAGAAUAAUCUUUUUUUAGAAA